GCCGCGACACGAUCGCCCCCUAAUCUUCCCUUCACCACCGGUAGGAUUCUCUAGUUCGACCGAGUAGGGCUGUAAAUUUUAAACCCUCGAUUUAGGGUUUGUCUUGUUCAUUCUUCAAUCUCUUCAUCUAUCUUUCUCGGGUGAAAAUGGCGAACGAGCAACAGUCAUCUACAGGGCCCUGGAUCCUCGAAGCAAUGCCUUUCAUCGUUGUUCUUCUCAUAGCAGCUCAUGUCUUUGCUUUGGUAUAUUGGAUUUAUAAGUUGGCAGCCCAAAAACAACCUCCGAGGAGGAAGGCACACUGAGUUACUGUAUGAUUCGUUCCUGAAAGAAACUUCAGCGAAACCGAAUUCGUUAAUUAUUGCGUAUCUAAUGUUGAGGAGGCGGUCACAAAAGCCAUGUAACGAUGUUUCUCUCUCAGGCAAAUCCCAGGACUUGUAGCAUCAAUAGAUGCUUUCUUCAUGUUAGUCUUGUCCGGUUGGCGAUUGUCGAUUGCUAUUGACCCACUAUCGAUUUACAGGUAUAUUACUGUGGUAAUUUUUUUUGUUCUUCAUUAGCCAUCUGAAUUCAAAGCACUUGAUAAGAUAUUCCUGUAGUAUAAGUAAGCCUAUGCCAUGUUCUUUUUCAUUUCUUCAAUGUUUUCCUUACUUGAUUCGAUCUUAGGAAUAUAGAUGUCGGACUCCAACAAUCUUACUCUCGAAUAAAGUACCAUUGAGUCUCUCCUUA